rnacentral:rRNA from 1 species
ACGGCUCAGUAACACGUAGUCAAUCUACCCUAUGGACGGGAAUAACCUCGGGAAACUGAGAAUAAUGCCCGAUAGAACAUUAUGCCUGGAAUGGUUUAUGUUUCAAAUGAUUUAUCGCCAUAGGAUGGGACUGCGGCCUAUCAGUUUGUUGGUGAGGUAAUGGCCCACCAAGACUAUUACAGGUACGGGCUCUGAGAGGAGUAGCCCGGAGAUGGGUACUGAGACACGGACCCAGGCCCUAUGGGGCGCAGCAGGCGAGAAAACUUUGCAAUGUGCGAAAGCACGACAAGGUUAAUCCGAGUGGUUUCUGCUAAAGAAACCUUUUGUCAGUCCUAGAAACACUAACGAAUAAGGGGUGGGCAAGUUCUGGUGUCAGCCGCCGCGGUAAAACCAGCACCUCAAGUGGUCAGGAUGAUUAUUGGGCCUAAAGCAUCCGUAGCCCGUUUUGUAAGUUUUCGGUUAAAUCCAUGCGCUUAACGUAUGGGCUGCCGGGAAUACUGCAUAACUAGGAAGUGGGAGAGGUAGACGGUACUCGGUAGGAAGGGGUAAAAUCCUUUGAUCUAUUGAUGACCACCUGUGGCGAAGGCGGUCUACCAGAACACGUUCGACGGUGAGGGAUGAAUGCUGGGGGAGCAAACCGGAUUAGAUACCCGGGUAGUCCCAGCUGUAAACUAUGCAAACUCAGGGAUGCAUUGGCUUAUGGCCAAUGCAGUGCUGCAGGGAAGCCGUUAAGUUUGCCGCCUGGGAAGUACGUACGCAAGUAUGAAACUUAAAGGAAUUGGCGGGGGAGCAC